CGCCCUCCUCCUCGUCUCCUUGUCGCUCCGCUCCUUCCCCACCAUCCGAUCCCUCUCGUCCCACCGUUACUCUUUCCGUGGGGGUUCCACCGGAACUGAUGGCUCCGGGGAGACGUUGCACGUCCACAAAAAUCCGUACCACCCCCUCGACCCUCUUACGUAUAACGAGAUAAAGGCCAUCCGUUCCAUCCUCGCUUCCCACCCGGACUUCGCCUCGCCGAACACCUUCCCGUCCAUCCACUCCCUGUCGCUCUUGGAGCCCGAGAAGGCCGUCGUCCUCGCGUGGCGCCCCGGGGACACACUCCCUCCUCGCCGCGCCCUUGUCGUCGCCUAUUCCGCCAACCACACCCACGUCCUCCCCGUCGACAUCGCCUCUCGCAGCGUCCUCCGUCACGUCGUCCGCGCCCGGCCCGCCGGAUACCCCAGCCUCACCCCCGAGGAAAUGGAGCGUGCCACGAAGGCCGCCGCUGCGCACCCGGACGUUAUCAACGCCGUCUUUUAUCGCGGCCUGAACCCGUCGUCCGGCGUUGUCUGCGGACCGCUGGCGUCGGGUUGGUACGGGCCGGAGGAGGAGAACCGGCGGGUGAUCAAGGUCCAGUGCUACGCCAAGUCCCCCAACUUCUACAUGAGCCCGGUGGAGGGGCUCACGGUGACUGUGGACGUGGACACGGGUGGGGUGAUCCGCGUCUCGGACCAGGGGCUUGGGAUCCCGGUGCCGCGCAACAGGGACACGGACUACCGCUACGAGUCGCAGAGGAGGAUUCCGACGACCGAGGCGGUGGCGGUGAACCCGAUGUCGAUGGAGCAGGCGGGGAAGCCUAGCAUGAGGGUGGGGGCGGGCGGGCACGCGGUACAGUGGGCGGGGUGGGAGGUGCACAUCCGGCCGGACGCGCGGGCGGGGAUGGUGGUGUCCCGGGCGCGUUUCCGGGACCCGGAGGGCGGCGGGGCGUGGCGGGAUGUGAUGUACAAAGGGAUGGUGUCGGAGCUGUUCGUGCCGUACAUGGACCCAGGGGAGGGGUGGUACUUCAAGACCUACAUGGACGCCGGCGAGUACGGGAUGGGGACGAACGCCUUCCCCCUGCUCCGCCUCAACGACUGCCCCCGGAACGCCAUCUACAUGGACGCGGUGUUCGCAGCGGCUGACGGCACCCCCUUCGUGCGCCCGGACGUCGUCUGCGUGUUCGAGCGCUACGAGGGAGACGUGGCCUGGCGGCACACCGAGAACCCCGUGUCCGGCUACGACGUAAGCAUCGUUCUCUCCUCAUCUUCACCGCAUAAAUUGGAUCCCCUCGGAAGAAAAACCCAAAUCUCACCGUUCGUAUGCAUCAUGCACGGAUCUUAAGGGUCUGAUGGAUGCCGAUCAUAGAAAUUUACCUCUCAUCAUCUGAAAAGUAGAAAGAGUACAGUUGCAGAGAAAAGGGCGUGAAGGUAUCCGCAGAUGAAUCUCGAAGGAAUCUUGAGAGGUACGAGAGUUGGAUCCAUAGAGAUUCAGAUGCUCUCGAGGACCCCCACUCGAAAAGACAUCUCCUCACCUGUAGAAAGCAAAGAAUAGGGACGUACUUGCUUUGACCGGUGCACAGCCUCGCAGCAUCCAACGCACAUCUCUCUAUUCUCUUUUUCUACAUAAACAUCUGCAGAUGUCAUGGUGAACCGCAGACACGAUGGCUGCUGGAUGGAACACCAGUCUGAUGCAUCAUGCUUUUUGUUGUUUGAUUGCAUGGGGGUGUGAAGCAGAUAAGGGAGGCGAGGCCGAAGGUGACGCUGGUGGCCAGGAUGGUGGCGUCCGUGGGGAACUACGACUACACCGUGGAUUGGGAGUUUCAGAUGGAUGGCCUCAUCCGAGUGAAGGUAUCUAUCUAUCUAUCUAUCAAUCCGCUUCCCCUCUCUGUCUUCUUCUUCCUCCACAGAGUUCUUUUCAUAGGAACUUACCGUGUCAGAUAGUAUCGUAAUGAAGUGACAGACAAGACAAGGCCAUAUGAAGACACAGAAAACAGCCACUUGAUGAAGUCAACUUUAUUUAUUGAGAUUCCUUGAACAUGGAAUCUGGUAUCAGCUGGGCCAUAUAUAUUGUGGAAUCAAUAAAGGAUCUUGCAUCAGCUGGGCCAUCGCCAGUCUGGAUUCCUCUGGAUGUGUAUGUGUGUGUUCAGGUGGUUCUUUGGCUUGUACCAACAUAAAGAUCAAGCGGAGCAGAAGAAGCCGAAACAGCUGAUGUUUGUUUCACUCAGCACAUUUAUGCGCAUGGACCCCACAGGUGGGCCCAGUACUAAUUGCUCCGGGUGAUGUGACCAGGUGAGUCUCAGCGGCAUGCUGAUGGUGAAGGCGACACGCUACGGGAACCUGAGCCAAGUGCCGGAGGGGGAAGACCUGUACGGGACGCUGGUCGCCGACAACAUCGUCGGCGUGGUCCACGACCACUUCGUGACAUUCUACCUGGAUAUGGACGUGGACGGGCCCAGCAACUCCUUCGUCAAGGUGCACAUGGAGACGCAGGAGACGGCCCCCGGGGAGUCCCCCAGGAAGAGCUACAUGAAGGUGGUGAGGGAGGUGGCCAGGACGGAGGAGGACGCGAAGGUAAAGCUGAAGCUGUACGACCCCUCCGAGUUCCACGUCGUCAACCCUUCGCGUCUCUCCAAGCUCGGUAACCCCUCGGGGUACAAGUUGGUGCCCGGCGCCACCGCUGCAAGCUUGCUGGACUUGGACGAUCCUCCACAGAAACGAGCCGCAUUCACCAAUAACCAGGUGAUGAUCAUGUCGUACGCUCUCCUUCUCGGUGAUCGCUCGAUCGCUAUGUCAUUCUCUCUCUUGUCUCCCGGUAGAUAUGGGUCACUCCAUACAACCGCAGCGAAGAGUGGGCGGGCGGCCUGCUCGCGUAUCAGAGCCACGGGGACGACAACCUCGCUGUUUGGUCAAAGAGGUAAGACAGACGGCAAUACACUCCUCAUGCAUGCAUGCAUGCAUAGGUAGUGAGAGAACUAAUGGUACGUGAGGGUGAAUGCGUUACAGGGAUCGGAAGAUUGAGAACAAGGACAUCGUCCUGUGGUACACCAUGGGAUUCCAUCACGUACCAUGCCAAGAGGACUACCCCAUAAUGCCCACCGUGUUCUCCACCUUCGACCUGAAACCUGUCAACUUCUUUAGGAUCAAUCCGAUCAUAAGAGCAGCGCCAUACACCGAGGAAGAUCUCCCGGUGUGCAACGGGGUCCAUGCAACGCUCUGAGCAAGGAAGGCCCCAUGGAAGCACGUACGUAAAGAUCUGCGUGGUAGAAACAUGCAAAGGACGUCUACGUAGGCUUGGAUGUUGGUUGCUAUGGAUGUGCAUAAGCUUUACAUUUGUGGAUGAUAAGAUAUAGAUUUCUGUAAAUACCUCCAAUGCACUCGUCGUCUCCUGCAUAGAAUUAGUCCUCUUCGUCUCUCUCUCUCUCUAAUAAGGGAGUCAGGAGAAAGGUUGUGAAUUCCGAAGUAUGAAAUAUCGAUGUGAGGUUGUGAAGUGUUUCUAAGAAGAUCAUUUUGUAUUUAGUACGAUGAAGGAUCGGACAAACAGUAUGCAUGUAUUCUACUAUUAACUCGAACGUAAACAUUUAGAAUUGCAUAAUUUGAAGUCCAUCAAGUUAAUGAUAAAUAAUCCAUUCGUGAUAUUACAUGUCGUAUAACCAAACUAAUAAUUAGGAUUGCUAAUGUUAUGACAAAUUAUAUAACAAUAACAUCGUUAAUGUUAUGGUAAAUUAUUCGGCUAGUUUAUCAUAACAUUUUUGACUUGUUGGAAAUAAAAUUUUAAUGAAGAGGAUAUUCCAAACAUGUUUAGUAUUUCGACAAUGGAAUUAACUGUGGGCCGAAUGUGUUAGCCCAUCGAAUCCAUGGCCCAAGCAAGCAUGUCUUCUUCUUCUUCUUCGUCUUGUGAUGAGACAUGCAGGAGAUACGUAUAGCUCACCCACCCGUCAAGUGCGAGGUGGGUGGGAAGACCAAAGAGGAGUACUGUUUUAGUCUCACCAAACCUUUCAACGCCUUCGUUUCAAAGCAUGCAACCUACCACAGACCAGCGAAGUGAGUACAUUCUUUGUUUUGAUUGGAACACCAGUCUUCAGCUAACACCUUUUUGGGAAGCUCAAAUUAAUUCUAUAUAGAAAAACUCCCGUUUAAUCAUUUAUGAUUAGAAAGAUAAUUUUGAAGUCUUAUUUAGAGAAUAAUUUACAUUGAAAUUUCUCGAAAGUUUUUCGAGUCUGAAGUUAAAAAUAUUCAUCAAAUCAUUUCAUAAUGAUAAUUAAACUGUUAAAGAUGAUAGACGCAUACACUUAUUUGUUUUAAGAAGCAAAUCAUCGUCAAAAUCAAAUAAAUAUUUUAUUCUUCUUUAAGGAACAAAUAUAAUCAAAAUUAUAUAUGUGUGUUGAAAGAGAAAACUGAUGAAGUGGCCUUUUGGUUUGGCUUCCGAAACAAGAAAAGCCAUGUCUUGCAAGAGCCGCUCCUUAUAAGGGGAGAAUAUUGUGUUGGCAUUAAUAAGCGGUACGAAUAGAAGAGAACUAUCCAUUAAUAUGAUUAUAUGUACAACAUAAAUUAGUCGAUUUACUUCACUGCCUCAGUUAGAUUUUUCUGACAUAAGCAUAAAUAUUACAUAAACGAUAGAUAAUAAUGUACUUAUUUCUAAAAUCUUUGAAUUGAUUACUAUAUUAUCGCACAAAUGAUAAGUCUCAUAUUUUAAUUUAAUCGUCAUAUAAGUAAGUCAUUUGAUAUAAAUAUUUUUUAAAUUUAUUUUUCUUUUAAAAAUUAUUAUGUAGUUAAGAAUUAUUAUUUUUCUUAUGAUUAUAAUGUUAUGCUGAUGCGAUCGCAGCCUCAUACGGGCGGCGGACAAAGGAAGGCGUUGCGAUAAGGGGCGAUGGAUAUGGCUGGUGAAACCAGAGGCAGUCAUCCGUCACCCCUUUCUGACGGCUGAGAUGUAAUCCGUACUCCGAUCCGACGUCUCUCGAUGCGUGGGUCCCUUUCCCCUCGCUCCAUUCUCUCCGACACCCCAUCCAAGUGGCUCAAAAGGCCCCGUACCUUUCUUAUUCCUCUCGCCCACUCCAUCCCGUAGCCAAUCGAGAGAGUGAGAGACAUGGCCGCUUCAUCCUCCGUGAACGCCGCCCAAGCCAUCGUUGGCCUCGCCGUCUCUAGCCAUGGUUCCCACUCCGCCGACCGCGUCGCCGUCCCCGCCGGCGGAUUCGCCCUCAGUUCCCUAGCCGGCCGCUCCCUCACCUGCUCCCACUCCCCCCGUUUCCAGCAUCAGCGGCGGUGCCCGCGGCAGGCGUCACGCGCCGCGCGUCGCGCGGCGCCCGCCAGGGCCGCCGCGGUGGAGACCCUCGAGGCUGCCGCCACGGAGGCCCUCGUCGAGAAGUCCAUCAACACCAUCAGGUUCCUCGCCAUCGACGCCGUCGAGAAGGCCAACUCCGGCCACCCGGGCCUCCCCAUGGGGUGCGCGCCCAUGGGCCACAUCCUGUACGACGAGGUCAUGAGGUACAACCCCAAGAACCCCUACUGGUUCAACCGCGACCGCUUCGUCCUCUCCGCCGGCCAUGGCUGCAUGCUCCAGUACGCGUUGCUCCACCUUGCUGGCUACGACAGCGUCCAGGUCAGGCCUUGGAUCUUUCCCGAGUCUUAUCCUCAGAUUUGAUGAAGCUAUUACCAAGAAAGUUGGCAACUUGAUGGUGAUCGGUCCAUUCUUCUUCAUAGAUUUGGAUCUGGCUUUGGAAUGAGAUCUCUGCUAUUCCUUUUUCUUGCUUUAAUCAUGGUAUCAUCACACACGUAAUUUCUUGGAAUCGAAAGCAUAGUAAAGUCCUAAACUUCUCAUUUGAUCAGUUCACUCAGAUGCCUAUCAUGUUCACCGAUCUGUAUAGUAUCAAACACACUAGAUCACUCUACUCUACCAAUUUCAUGUGCGUUUUGAUUUGCAUCAAGAUGAUGUUGUCUUGGUCAUUUAGAUGGAGGACAUCAAGCAAUUCCGGCAAUGGGGGAGCAGAACUCCCGGCCAUCCUGAGAAUUUCGAGACCCCCGGAGUUGAAGUCACCACCGGUUAAGUCUCCUGCAGAUUUUAUGAUACGUUUUGUGAUCAUCUCUUUCCUUCAUUGCUUUCCCUGAGCUUUCACGACCGUCUGUUGAUCGGCACGAACACGAUGCAGGGCCACUUGGUCAAGGCGUAGCCAAUGCCGUAGGAUUGGCACUUGCUGAGAGACACCUUGCGGCCCGUUUCAAUAAGCCUGACAACGAGAUCGUCGACCAUUACACGUAAGUUCUGUCUUGGUUAUGUCCGAAUGCUGCUGCUAAGGUCACACGUUUGAGUAAUUUGAUUUCGAUCGGUAGAUAUGUUAUACUCGGGGAUGGUUGCCAAAUGGAGGGCAUCGCAAACGAAGCUUGUUCGAUCGCCGGACACUGGGGUCUCGGCAAACUCAUCGCCUUCUACGAUGACAACCACAUCUCCAUCGAUGGAGACACAGAGAUCGCGUUUACAGAAGAUGUGUCUGCUCGUUUCGACGCUCUCGGGUGGCAUACUAUCUGGGUGAAGAACGGUAACACAGGGUAUGAUGACAUUCGUGCCGCGAUCAUGGAAGCAAAGGCUGUCAAAGAUAAACCAACACUCAUCAAGGUUUGUGUUGUUUGCCGGAAUUGUUCUCGAGCAGAAUGUUCGGCUGGGUAUAUGCUUGUUUCGGAUUGCUAAGCCACUGCACUCGUGCAGGUCACCACUACCAUCGGAUAUGGAUCGCCCAAUAAGGCGAACUCGUACAGUGUGCAUGGAAGUGCAUUGGGUGCCAAGGAAGUCGAUGCAACUCGACAGAAUCUUGGAUGGCCGUACGAGCCUUUCCAUGUGCCCGAGGAUAUCAAGAGGUCAGCGACUACGAAUUCGGAUUCUAAUCGUCGAUUAUGAAUGAUUUGUUCUGUACAUAGACCUGUGCUCUGGUUUAUGGUUCAGUCACUGGAGCCGCCAUGUCGCUGAAGGUGCAUCCCUUGAAGCUGAGUGGAACGCCAAGUUUGCAGAGUACGAGAAGAAGUACAAGGAGGAUGCUGCAGAGCUGAAAGCCAUCGUAUCGGGAGAAUUGCCUGCCGGAUGGGAGAAAGCUCUUCCGGUGAAUCUCUCACCCUCCUGUCUUCUGACGCUAUCCAUCCAUUCGAUGUCGUAAAGCUAUGAUUCCAUAUGGCUCUUUUCCAGACAUACACUCCUGAGAGUCCUGCCGAUGCUACCAGAAACUUGUCGCAACAGAACUUGAAUGCGCUUGCGAAAGUUCUACCUGGACUUCUCGGGGGUAGUGCAGAUCUCGCAUCCUCCAACAUGACAUUGCUCAAGAUGUUUGGGGACUUCCAGAAGGGCACGCCCGAGGAGCGUAAUGUUCGUUUUGGUGUACGGGAGCACGGGAUGGGCGCCAUCUGCAACGGCAUCGCCCUCCACAGCCCCGGCCUUCUCCCCUACUGUGCGACCUUCUUUGUUUUCACGGACUACAUGAGAGCUGCCAUCAGGAUCUCAGCUUUGUGCGAGGCAGGAGUCAUCUAUGUGAUGACGCAUGAUUCCAUCGGUCUCGGGGAGGACGGUCCGACUCACCAGCCGAUCGAACACUUGAUAAGUUUCCGAGCCAUGCCGAACAUUCUAAUGCUCAGGCCUGCCGAUGGAAAUGAGACCGCCGGAGCAUACAAGGUCGCGGUGCUCAACAGGAAGAGGCCAUCGGUGCUCGCUCUCUCGCGGCAGAAACUUCCUCAGCUUGCGGGAACAUCAAUCGAGGGAGUAGAGAAGGGAGGGUACAUCGUUUCAGACAACUCCUCAGGUAACAAACCAGACCUGAUCUUGAUGGGCACCGGUUCGGAACUGGAAAUUGCAGCGAAGGCUGCCGACGAGCUGAGGAAGACGGGGAAAACGGUCCGAGUGGUAUCGCUCGUCUGCUGGGAGUUGUUCGAGGAGCAAUCAGAUGAAUACAAGGAGAGUGUGCU
rnacentral:lncRNA from 1 species